AAUUCCUCUAUGGGCAAUCUGUUUCAGAUACAGAAGACAUGCCAAAGUGAAGGGAAUUCUGUUUCCUAAUGGGCCACCCUGCUUUGUGAUGCCUCUCUCACGCAACACUUUCAAAAGACCGCUGACUCACACGUGGGUUUUACUGCUGUGGUUGAAGGUGCACAACGCCAAGGUUAAGCUCAUGGCCCUUGCUCCUUUUGAAGCUUCCUGGAUCUCCAAGAUACCUGCAGGGGGACAUUCUACCAAAAAGCAAGUGAUGGAAAAACCUGUGUUCUUCUUGCUCUGUUCUCCGCUGACUGAGACUUGUGGCUGACAGGUGACAGCUGUCUGAAGCUCCCAAGGUUUGUGCACUUAAAUCAGUGAUGACUGCACCUCACCCCACAUCUCACCCAGUGUCACAAAGUACGACAACCAGUCACGUCCCCAGUGUCAGCAGAAAUACUCCUCAGUGGAGGAAGCUACUGGAGGAUGUGUCUUAAAAAAACGAAUGAUGAACUAAGAAAAUAGAAGAUAUGGGAUCCUAGAAAAGAAGAUCCAACACAAGACAGAGAUACUUCGUAUGAAACAAUGAGCUGCAGUCCAAAGGAAGACAGUGGAUCAACUUAUCCUGAAACCAAAGGUGGAAGAAGCAGAGAGGGCAUGAGACUGCCGUGAGGAGAGAAUUAAACGGAGCACAUCUCCAAGCUCAGUAUCUUGGAUCCUAUGACAUACCUGCCCUUCUUUGUCCUCCUGUAGAACUCAGUAGUCACCAGCCCAUUGGUUGAUUACAGGGCCGCCUGA